rnacentral:tRNA from 1 species
GCCAAUCUGGUGGAAAUGGUAGACACGACUCACUUAAAAUGAGUUACUUAAAAGUUUAGAGGUUCAAGUCCUUUGAUUGGUA